ACGAACGCUGGCGGCGUGCCUAAAACAUGCAAGUCGAACGGGAGAGCAAUCUCUAGUGGCGAACGGCGGAGUAAUACAUAAGCAACGCACCUCGAAGUCUGGGAUAGCCGAUGGAAACGUCGAGUAAUACCAGAUGUGGUUCCCGGAGGGCAUCCUUUGGGAAUUAAACGGUUUUUCGCUUCGAGAGCGGCUUAUGGCCUAUCAGCUAGUUGGUGGGGUAACGGCCUACCAAGGCAACGACGG
rnacentral:rRNA from 1 species